UACGAAGGUGGCAAGCGUUGUUCGGAUUUACUGGGCGUACAGGGAGCGUAGGCGGUUGGAUAAGCCCUCCGUGAAAUCUCCAGGCUUAACCUGGAAAGUGCAGAGGGGACUGUUCAGCUAGAGGAUGGGAGAGGAGCGCGGAAUUCCCGGUGUAGCGGUGAAAUGCGUAGAGAUCGGGAGGAAGGCCGGUGGCGAAGGCGGCGCUC
rnacentral:rRNA from 1 species